rnacentral:rRNA from 1 species
GUUUGUUUGGAGUUAUAAAGAAUUUAACCUGCCCCCUGAUUAACUAUUCUAUUAAAGGGCCGCAGUAUUAUAACUGUGCAAAGGUAGCAUAAUCAUUAGGUUUUUAAUUGAAAUCUCGUAUGAAUGGUUGGACAAAAGAGAGACUCUCUUUAUAUUAAGUUUUGAAUUUAACUUUUAAGUGAAAAGGCUUAAAUAUUCUAAAGGGACGAUAAGACCCUAUAAAACUUUACAUUGUCAUUAAUUUUGAUUGAAUUUAUGAAAUAAAAAUUUUAUUUGAUUAUUUGUUAUGUUGGGGAGACAUAAGUAAAAUAUUUUUUUAACUGCUUGAUAGUUAUACAAUUAUUAGUGAAUAAGUAGAAGAUCCUUUUUAAGAUUAGUAGAUUAAGUUACUUUAGGGAUAACAGUGUAAUUUCUUUUGAGAGUUCUUAUCGAAAAAGAAGGUUGCAACCUCGAUGUUGAAUUAAAAUAUCUAUAUAAUGGAGAGGUUAUAUAAGAAGGUCUGUUCGACCUUGAAAAUUUUACAUGAUUUGAGUUCAAACCGGUGUGAG